GGAAGUUUGAUAUCAGCCUAGCUACAUGAGAGACCCAAUAACAAAACAAAACAAACACAGAAAAGAGGCAGGAGGCUAUCCUUGAAGAAUCAGCAAAGACACAGGAAAAGACCCGCAGACUUCGGAUUCACAGUUACACUCUCCAGUUCUUCCAAGAUCUUACGCAGAGUGGGACCAGGAGGAAUUAUUCAGGACUGCAGAGCCAUAUAAGAUAAAGGAUUUAUGACUGACUGAGAUUUGGCUGGCACCGCGUACAACCAUCCUUCGAUGUCAUAGAAGAGAGUGACUCUGAAACAAGACUCAGGGAAGGGACCUCAGACCAAGGAGGAUCUAUUCAGAGUGAAGGCAGCAGCAACGAGAUUUAAACUUCCUGUGGAAGUCUGUGCACUUCGGGUAUAGAAUACAGAGAGCAAAGCAUCGGAAGUAUCUACUCUAUAAUGUAAAGGGAAUUCAUCAAAGAAAAGGUGGACAUCAUGAAAUGAGCUGCCAACCUGAGGAACGGAAUGAGAUAGAGAUGGUGAUGGCUGACGGAGCAAACAGAAGCCGAAUACAUUGAAGACACUGACAAUUCAACCACAAAACUAUGCUGCUAAUGACAAGAACCCAGCAGGAAUUAGCCAAAGUUUAAGUGAAUGAUGUAGAUUCAGGGAGCAAGCCUGAUAACUUUCUGAGGACACCAAGAAUAAGGGGAACAGCAAAACCCCAAAGAAAGGGCUCAGGUCCAUGUGUCAGGUUUACAAACAACAAAGUGAAACAGGGAUUUGUUCUUUAGAAAGUCCACCUCUAUAAGCUCCCUCAAGGACCCAGUCACUAUUAGAAGUACUAAUAGAUGAUAUUUAAAGUAGUUGAGAGUAGAAAGGUUUCUCUGUCUGUAGUUAUCAAUCAACAGUAUACAUAUUUGAGGAAAAGGAGUGUUUAACUUUGUAUGAAUAUAAUCCAACUCUUACUCACACACACACACAUACAUACACAUAAACACAUACACACAUAUACACACACAUACACACACAUACACACACAUACACACACAUACAUACACACACAUACAUACACACAUACAUACACACACAUACAUACACAUACACACAUACACACAUACACACACAUACACACAUACACACAUACACACACAUACACACACACACACAUGUGCUGUUAAACAUGUAUAGAGUUCAGAAGACAGCUUGUGGGAGUUGAUCCUUUCUUUCCACUAUGCAUGUUCAGGGGAUCAAUUUCAGGUCAUCAGACUUGGCAGCAAGUACCUUCCUUGGCUGAGCUGUGUUGCCAGUCCACAGAUGAUGUUAAGAAAGGCAAAAUGUUUUUAAAACCUUGGAAUGAGGAGAGUCUCUUAACAUAUAACUCUCAUCAAGAAUAAGGAAUGAGAGAUUGGCUUCAUAAAACUUUAAAAUGAGGAAAAAAAGAAAAAGAGAAACAAAUGCUUAGGACAUGAAAUCUUGCAGGACAAGAAAACUUGGAUGAAAAUGCUGCUAAUGCAGGUUCCAAAUGUAAAACGUUUAUAUCAAACAAUUAAAAACAAUAAAACAAUGCUAAAAAUAAAAGCAGGCAAAAUAAAAACUUCUUCAGUCAGCAACAAUAAACAUGUUCAAAAUACCCAACUUAA